rnacentral:lncRNA from 1 species
GCUGAUCAGGGUCGCCCAAGAAGACCAGAAGCAGUACGCUUACGCUCUCAGCCCUCGAGUAUCGCCCGGUAAUGGGAGGCCGAGUGGUCAGCUUUGUCGUUGAUUCGUGUCGGUUUAUAGGGAGGCACCGGUCGGAGGAAGGGGAGAGUUAAAAGGUUCGCCCUUUUCUUGUAGUGGAGGCUGCUUUACUCAGCGCGUCGCCGGUGGAUCGGUAUUUUGUGUGCCGGCGAGGUGGAACGGUGGUUGGGAGCGCCGGUUUUCUUUUGGAUUAGCCUGGCGUGUGACUGUGUUAAAAAAGACUGGUAGCUGGAGAAAGCUUCUUCCUUUUUGUUUUGGGCUCCAUCUCUUUCUUCCUUUUUUUGUGUGCAUUAAA